AGUGAACGCUGGCGGUAGGCCUAACACAUGCAAGUCGAACGGCAGCACAGUAAGAGCUUGCUCUUACGGGUGGCGAGUGGCGGACGGGUGAGGAAUACAUCGGAAUCUACUUUUUCGUGGGGGAUAACGUAGGGAAACUUACGCUAAUACCGCAUACGACCUACGGGUGAAAGCAGGGGAUCUUCGGACCUUGCGCGAUUGAAUGAGCCGAUGUCGGAUUAGCUAGUUGGCGGGGUAAAGGCCCACCAAGGCGACGAUCCGUAGCUGGUCUGAGAGGAUGAUCAGCCACACUGGAACUGAGACACGGCCCAGACUCCUACGGGAGGCAGCAGUGGGGAAUAUUGGGCAAUGGGCGAAAGCCUGAUCCAGCCAUACCGCGUGGGUGAAGAAGGCCUUCGGGUUGUAAAGCCCUUUUGUUGGGAAAGAAAAGCAGCAGGUUAAUACCCCGCUGUUCUGACGGUACCCAAAGAAUAAGCACCGGCUAACUUCGUG
rnacentral:rRNA from 1 species